ensembl:rRNA 5S_rRNA 5S ribosomal RNA
CCCAACGGCCGUGCCACCCUGAACAAGCCCGAUCCCAUCUGAUCUCGGAAGCUAAGCAGUGGUGGACCUGGUUAGUACUUGGAUGGGAGACCACCUAGGAAGACCAGAUGCUGUAGACG